GAGAAUGGUUAAUGGAAGCUCGAGCAAGCAAAUGAAUUCCCUUAUUCUCUUGUUUUCUAAUUCACAUGAUCUUAAUAUUAUGUGUAGAAGCUAAAAAGAGAUCUACAAUCAGCAAUAACUAAACCAAAAUCUGAGUUAUCAACUUUUAAGAUAGUUUAAAGCAUAAACUAGCAACCGGCAGUCUGAAAAAAUAUAGCCACUAAGUGGAAGAUUAGCUUGAGCAAAGAUCAAGCAUUGUCUAAGUGCUAGAGCUUCAAUAAGAGCUGGACCCCUGUUCCUUCUUUGUAACCAGAAAUAGCCAGGGUGAAAGAGCCUUCAACAUGUUCAAAGACAGCCCCAAAGCCAGCAAAAUCAGCUGCUGGAAAUAAUGCACCAUCGACGAAAGCCAACCAGUUUGUUGACGACGUGAUCUGCAUGGAAGUAGCACCAAGGGGAUGGCCACCGGGUGUAGACAGCACAACCAUAUUUGCAUGGGUCAGAGCAUGGAAUUCGUGCACGUAGUUUCUUGCAUCCAUAUGAAUCUGCGCUGGAGUCUGCCAUAUUUGGGACUAGAUAUAGUUGUUCCUAGACCCCAAUUUUUCCAUGCGUAAGCAGCUACCUCUGCUGCCUUUUCUGCACCUUGUGUCGAAAAUACCUGCAAAAGAAAAUCGUGAUAGGUGAUAAUAGCGUUAGGGAUAAUAAAACCUCCACACCUCCACAUCUCCGCCGAUUUUGGGUAAUGCAAUAUGUAAAAAAUGACAAAGAGAUUAUAAUGAAAGUUAUUAACAUA
rnacentral:lncRNA from 1 species